rnacentral:rRNA from 1 species
UUAGGGUCGGGACGGGGUACGGGUAGGUAAACGUAACGUCGGAAACGAACGUCGUACUAUGGGAGGGUAACACUUAGAAAUAGGUGCUAAUACCGCAUAAGCGCACAGCUUCGCAUGAAGCGGUGUGAAAAACUCUGGUGGUAUACGAUGGUUCCGCGUCUGAUUAGCUAGUUGGUGGGGUAAUGGCCUACCAAGGCAACGAUCAGUAGCCGGCCUGAGAGGGUGAACGGCCACAUUGGGACUGAGACACGGCCCAAACUCCUACGGAAGGCAGCAG